UGCCCGAUCGUCUAAUGGCAGGACAGCGGCCUUUGAAGCCGUCAAUUUUGGUUCGAAUCCAAGUCGGGCAUCCA
rnacentral:tRNA from 1 species